GAGCUGCAACGGAAACAAGGUUCCAUUCUAACAGACUCCGACUCUGAAGGCCGCUGGUUCGAAUCCAGUCGGGCGUACCA
rnacentral:tRNA from 1 species